rnacentral:rRNA from 1 species
UACAGGGGGGGCAAGCGUUGUCCGGAAUUACUGGGCGUACAGCGCGCGCAGGCGGUUUAACACGUGCCGUGUGACAGACGUCGGCUUAACCGACGUAGGCCAGGGUACACGGUUCGACUGGAGGCAGAGAGAGGGAUGUGGAAUACCCGGUGGAGCGGUGAAAUGCGUAGAGAUCGGGUGGAACACCAGGGGCGAAGGCGGCAUCCUGGCUCUGUACUGACGCUGAGGCGCGAGAGCGUGGGGAGCAAACAGG